GCAUUCAGCCUUAAGUUCAGAGCUAUCAUGGCUCCCUGGCCUGAGCUGGAAAAUGCCCAGCCCGACCCCAAUAAAUACAUGGAGGGGGACACCAGCCAGCAGUCCACCACACCCGGGAAAGGCAAGGACACGAGCCAAAAUGACAGCGGGACCCCAGUCACCAAGAUCGAGCUUCUGCCGUCCUAUUCCACCGUGGCACUGAUAGAGGAACCCACAGCAGUGGAAGACCCCUGGGACCUGCCCGAGCUCCGGGACACGGGGAUCAAGUGGUCAGAGAGAGACACCAAAGGGAAGAUUCUCUGUGUCUUCCAAGGAAUUGGGAAAUUUAUUUUGCUUCUGGCAUUUCUCUACUUCUUCGUGUGCUCGCUGGAUGUCCUCAGCAGUGCCUUCCAGCUGGUUGGAGGGAAGGUGGCCGGGCAGUUUUUCAGCAACAACUCUAUUAUGUCCAACCCCGUGGCUGGGCUGGUGAUCGGAGUGCUGGUGACUGUCCUUGUGCAGAGUUCCAGCACCUCCUCGUCCAUCAUCGUCAGCAUGGUGGCCUCCUCGUUGCUGACUGUGCGUGCCGCCAUCCCCAUCAUCAUGGGGGCCAACAUUGGGACCUCAGUCACCAACACCAUUGUGGCGCUCAUGCAGGCAGGAGACCGGAGUGAGUUCAGAAGGGCUUUUGCGGGGGCUACUGUCCAUGACUUCUUCAACUGGCUCUCUGUGUUGGUGCUCUUGCCCCUGGAGGCAGCUACCCAUUACCUGGAGAUCCUGACCAACUUGGUGGUAGAGACCUUUAACUUCAAGAAUGGAGAAGACGCCCCGGCACUUCUGAAAGUUAUCACAGAUCCCUUCACGAAACUCAUUAUCCAGCUGGAUAAGAAAGUUAUCAACCAAAUCGCAAUGAAUGAUGAAGCAGCCAAAAACAAGAGUCUGAUCAAGAUUUGGUGUGAAACUUUUACCAACGUGACUCAGAUGAAUGUCACUGUCCCCUCGCCUGAGAACUGCACCUCCCCUUCCCUUUGUUGGUCGGACGGUUCCUACACCUGGACCAUCAAGAACGUGACCUACAAGGAGAACAUUGCCAAGUGCCAGCACAUCUUUGUGAAUUCCAGCCUCCCAGAUGUUGCUGUUGGCAUAAUCCUGCUGUUAGCCUCCCUGCUGGUCCUCUGUGGCUGCCUGAUCAUGAUCGUCAAGCUCCUGGGCUCCGUGCUCCGGGGACAGGUAGCCGUUGUCAUCAAGAAGACCCUCAACACUGAUUUUCCCUUUCCUUUUGCCUGGCUGACUGGCUACCUGGCCAUCCUUGUGGGGGCAGGUAUGACCUUCAUCGUGCAGAGCAGCUCUGUGUUCACAUCUGCUAUGACCCCACUGAUUGGUAUUGGCGUGAUCACCAUUGAGAGGGCAUAUCCACUCACGCUCGGCUCCAACAUCGGCACCACCACCACCGCCAUUCUGGCCGCCUUAGCCAGCCCAGGCAAUACUCUCAAGAGCUCACUGCAGAUCGCCCUGUGCCACUUUUUCUUCAACAUCUCGGGCAUCCUGCUGUGGUACCCAAUCCCAUUCACCCGCCUGCCCAUCCGCCUGGCCAAGGGGCUGGGCAACAUCUCCGCCGAGUACCGCUGGUUUGCCAUCUUCUACCUGAUCUUCUUCUUCUUCCUGACCCCGCUGGCCGUGUUUGGCCUCUCGCUGGCGGGCUGGCCGGUGCUGGUGGGCGUGGGGGCGCCCAUCAUCCUCGUGAUCCUCCUGGUGGUGGUCCUCAGGUUCCUGCAGUCCCGCUACCCGCGCAUCCUGCCCAGAAAGCUCCAGAGCUGGGACUUCCUGCCGCUGUGGAUGCACUCGCUGAAGCCCUGGGACGAACUGAUCUUCCUGCUCACUGGCUGUUGCCAGACGCGCUGCUGCUUCUGCUGCCGGGUCUGCUGCCGCGCCUGCUGCCUGCUGUGCGGCUGCCCGGCCUGCUGCCGCUGCAGCGGGUGCUGCCGGAUCCUGGAGGAGGAGCAGGAUACGCCCAUCAAGGCCCCCAAGGCCUUUGAUAACAUGGCCAUGAGCACAGAGGCCCAGGACGGGGUCCCCAGGUCUCAGGUGGAUGGCCCGGCCACAGAGGUCACCUCCAGCAGCACAGCCUUGUAGGGGCUUCCCGGAGGUGGGAAGGGGGGCCACCUCCCCCAUGGCUCCGCGGGCCCUUCUCUGCCCGGCCGGGACGCCUUCCCUGCUGAGAAGUGGAGUUGACAUCAGCCCCCACCCUGACCCCCUUCGUCCCGGUGUAUCAGCCCGCACAGUGGCUUCAUCUCAGCCCGCCCCCCUCCCCCCUCCCCACCGCACCCGCCUCCCCCCAAACUGGGCUCCCGCUCGCGGGAACUGGCAGAGCAGCCCCAAAAGACGAUGAAAGACAAUGGCUGGAGACGGUCACACUCGCCCACCCCCUGCAACAGCAGGGUGGGUCCACACGACCUACUUUCAGACUCAAACCAUCUUCUUCCAAAGGAAGAGCCUCGAGGGAAGGGAUUGACGGAAGGUUCUCAAAGAUGCCUAUGUUAAGUGUAUGUUAUUGCGGUAAAGCUCAGAUAGCUCUCUCUUUUACCAAAGACUUGCUUCAACCAAGAUCAGCCGCCCCCGGGGGUCCUUGGCCCAGACCGGACCCAUGUGGAGGGGGAAAUAGUGUCAUUGUUUGGAGACUUGAAGACCACAGGGGUGGGUCUUUCCCCUUCGCGGAGCUCCCCAAACUCCUUGUUAGGGGGACCUCACCUGGGCAGUUCUGGCCGAUCUGAGCUUCCCUGCUGUGUCCUUGUCCGAGUUUUCAGGGCGGGAGCUGCAUCUGAGCUACCGAGAGAGAGGUUCGGGGUGCACUUUGGCCCACCUGUUGGCUCCACCUUUCUGAGAAGAGAGUGUUCUGUUCCUGAGCCGAGCAGUUGGAGGAUGAGCCAGGGAAUGGCGAGACCUGGAGGGGCUGGGGUGGGGAGACGGUUUGUCUGCUAAAAGGACCUGGGGCUCUUCUUGAUUUGGCUACUUUGGAAGCCAAAUUGACAGUUGCGGCCAAAGCCUAGCGCCGCUCUCUUGGUCCGAUAAAAUCAUCCCUGAUGAGUCUUCUGGAGGAAAAUAAGGCAGCCCCUCUGCGUCGCUGAGUCCAUUCAUCCAUCCAAGCCAGAAACGCUUUCCAAAACUUCUCUCACGUUCCCAUAGAUAGAUGCACAUUCUGCCAAUACCGCACCUUACUGAUGAGUAAGGAGGCAGUGACAAGAAGAGAGGUACGAGGGGCUGACCUUUCCUUCUAUCUCAUCACUCCAGCCUAAGUGGGCGGCUAACACAGGCAAGUAACACGAGUGAAAAAGGUGGAGAUGGGGUUCCUCAGUCCUUUCUUUUGCUGUGUUCGAAGAAAGUUCUGGUUUGAAUGGGAAGCAGGUCCUCCUGAGGCUGUCAGUACCCCCGGGUACUCGGUUGCAGAUAUCACGCACCUGUAGUUGACAUUGAGCCUUGCUGCCCUUAGGCUUGUUGUGGAUCUACCAGAAUUCUGUCUUCCUGGGGCACGGCCAAUACUCUGUGUGAGUGGGGUGCGGGGGACCAUGGACACGUGUCCUGCCCAUCCUGCUCACUCCCGCGCUCCAUUGCCCCAUAGGACUUCGCUUACAAAAUGAAGAUUAAGAUUUUCUUUUUUUUUAAUUUUUUUUUUUUCAACGUUUAUUUAUUUUUCGGACAGAGACAGAGCAUGAACGGGGGAGGGGCAGAGAGAGAGGGAGACACAGAAUCGGAAACAGGCUCCAGGCUCUGAGCCAUCAGCCCAGAGCCCGACGCGGGGCUCGAACUCACGGACCGCGAGAUCGUGACCUGGCUGAAGUCGGACGCUUAACCGACUGCGCCACCCAGGCACCCCAAGAUUAAGAUUUUCAGGACCCUGAUGGCAGAGUAUUUCCCUUCUCAGUGUGGGGUGCCAUGUGACUGCAUGCUCGCAAAGCUGGCCAUGCUCACCACCCCAUGCCAGUCACGGUGUUCAGCAAAAGUUGAUUUAAAUUAAGAAAUGUGUGCAGAAGGACUAUAAAUUGGUAGCAUCUCUCUAGGACAGCUGGAGCACGGGCAGAGAGCUGAGUUGGUGCUAGAGAGUGACAAUAAAUUCAGGGUUGGGAUUGCUUGGGGAGCUGGGUCCCACUCCUGUCUACGUCAUUUACUAGCUAAACUGUUAACAUUCCUCAAUGUCAGUGUCCUCACUUGGACUAUGGGGACGGUAACGCAUGGCUUCUUAAGAUGAUUAAAACUAGGUAACGUAUGUAAAUAUUUAGCCCACGGUUGGUUACUGUGUUUGGUAUAUACAGUCAUGCCUCCAACUAUAAGGGACAUAACAUGAUAGCUGUACCAGACCCACUUCUGAUGCUUGUGUGCAUUUUCCUCCUCUGAGUGUUUCCACAGUGAAAUGCCAAGCCACAAAAGCUGCUAUCGACCCAAGACACGGAGGCCAGAACGGGCCUUGGAUUCAUUAUCAGGAUGAGGUGGACAGGUGUCAUGUGACUCACUUCCAAAUGGACCUGAGCCACUUGGAAGACUACACUAAGGGUCUGCAGCCAGGAGACAGGAUGCAAAGAGCACUUAGCGUUUCGGAAACCGUUUGCUGUUUUCUAUGGAGAGGCUCCCUUCCUAGUCCCAACCUAGGAUGCAGAGACAAGCAUCAUUUUAAAAAGAAUUUGGAAUCAAUUGAAAAAUUUGGAAUCAAUUGAAAAAGAAGACACAGAAGACUAACUAAUGGAGGUGCCCUGGGUUUGGCUCCCCACCACCCAGUGAAGUAUGUGUGGGACGCAACCCAAAUCAAAGCCAACAAGUCACUGCCCAAACAUCCAGGGCCGAGGGAAAACGAGCAACAUGUUCUCACCACGCGCCACUUCAGAACCAGGUCUAGUGAGGAAGCGUCAACGAGCCCCUCAGAGAGUGAGACGGGAGCACUCUGCAACUGGGGACUUGAUCAGGUGCUACCUGACUUGUGUCUCAGAAAAAGUGGCGGUGGCAGCAGAGAAAAAGGCUGCAUUUGAGAAACAACUCCACUCCACUCUGACAGCCAGUUGAAUGAUGUCCAAGAUGGCUCCUUCACAUAGCUGCCGGCUGGGAGCUCAGCUGGAGCUGUCGACCAGGCGCCUUGGUUCUCUUUCAUGUGGCCGCUCCAUGCAGUUUAGGCUUCACAGGGCAUGGCGACUGGAUUAAAAAAGGGAGUGUACCAAGAGUGAGAAAGAGGCUGCGAGACUCUUGAAGCUUAGCUUCAGAAGUUACACAGCAUCACGUUUGCCACAUUCCAUUGGUCAAAGCAAGGGCAGUCCCAAUUAAGGGGGGACGAAUAGACUCCGCCAGUCCACAGGAAGAACGGCAGAGAAUUUGUAGCCAUCUUUAACCAGCACACUAAAUUUGUGACUUAAAGUGACCCUAAGGCUUUUUUUUUUUUCACCUGAGAGUGACUAGAAAAAUUCUGAAUUUUUAUGAGGAAGCAAAGAACUUCCCAUUGAAAAACUUUAAUAGACCA